rnacentral:rRNA from 1 species
GACGAACGCUGGCGGCGUGCCUAAUACAUGCAAGUAGGACGCAGUUGCGAACGGGUGAGUAACGCGUAGGUAACUACCUAUCAGAGGGGGAUAACUAUUGGAAACGAUAGCUAAUACCGCAUACUAGUAGAUGGACCUGCGUUGUAUUAGCUAGUAGGUAGGGUAAUGGCCUACCUAGGCAAUGAUACAUAGGCGGACUGCGAGGGUGAUCGGCAAAACUGGGACUGAGACAAGGCCCAAAAUCAUAAGGGAGGGGGUAGUAGGGAAACUUUGGCAAAGGGGGGAACCCUGACCGAGCAACGCCGCGUGAGUGAAGAGGGUUUGCGGAUCGUAAAGCUACGUUGUUAAGGAAACGGUACUUAACCAGAAAGGGACGGCUAACUACGUGCCAGCAGCCGCGGUAAUUC